rnacentral:lncRNA from 10 species
GCGAUGCCGGGCGGGCGAGGUCCCCGAGUGCGGGCCCAGAAAAGCUGCCGGCGUCUGCCAGGGCCCCGGGGAGCCCGGGCGCCUCCCGGGGAGCCAGAUACCCCCAGCCUGGACUGAAGUGAUUUUUUUUUUUUUUUUGCCUUUUUUUUUUUGGAGGAAGUUUGGCUUUCUGCGCCUCCCAGGGUGGGGAGGAUUUGAGUCUUACUGAAAUGCACCAGAAGAGGAGACUUUCUUAACUUGAGCAAGAAGGGGAGUUUGUAGAAUUUCCUUCCUGCUGUUUCAUGUUUGGUUGUUUUGCAGAUUAAAUGAAUUAAUGCACGUAAAGCGGCAACAACGAAGCCUUGUCUAUAGUCAACAGUCAAUAAAAGUUAGUUGCUGUUGUUACUUCUUUAGGAAGUUAGGAAAUGCGCCUUGAGAGCGUGGCUUGCACCAACGAUGCUUGAAUUCAGGCUGGGCCACCUCCCCUAUGUCCACUGCCCGCCUCUGUUCUUCUACACCGACUACCUUGUGCAAAGGAGGGGCACACAGAGCUUGAAACCACCGCCCCCAGUACUCCCCCUCUCCCCCAAGAUGACACAGUGCUGUUUAUGUUGGCCAGCACCCAAUAAGCAAAUAAUGGGAAAUUGAUUAUUGAUUAUUUCCUCAUUCCCAAGUGAAAAGGAGAAAGGUAUCUCUAUUGGAGAUGAACGCAUGUUCAAUACACGUGGCCUGCCUGAGUCAUUAGCAAAGUGUCCAACAACUCUGAGAUAAAUCGUCAUUUUAUGGAAUGCCACAGGAAGAAGUUUUCUUUACAAGUUCUGAAGACUUGUGAUGAAUGAGUCCAUAGUUUCACCUUUGAAAAUGUCCCUGGGAGUGUCAACCCCAUCACUUUUACUUAUAUUACACUCAUAAUCAGUUCAUCUCGCCAAGAAAAAUAAUAUUAUCCUCAUGCCCAAACUUGUGACUUGAUUUGAAAACCAGUAAAUCAGAAAUAAAACUUCCCAUGUGUUUUUUUCCUACAUGAAUCCAAGUGACUCAGAUAUUGUGUUAUUCAAUAAGACUAUUACCAUGACUCAGGUAAAAGGGCCGUUUAUAUUUUCUGAAGUCUCAAGUCUAGGGUCCAAAAUAAAACUAGCAUCUUUUAUAGAAUAAUUUUUCUCUAAAAUGAAAUGUGUAUGU